GGGAGGGAGAGAGAGAGAGAAAGAGAGAGAGAGAGAGAGAGAGAGAGAGAGAGAGAGAGAAGAGCCAGGGGGAUGAGAUUUAAUCCCCUAAGGCAUUCCCCAAGAAUUCCAUUUCCUUCAGCCAUGCCCUAUUGCCUACAGUUAUCAUUCAGUACAGUAGAAAUUUCUUCUUUUUCUUCCUCCUUCUCUUCCUCCUCUUUCUCCUCUUCCUUCUUCUUCUUUUGGUA
rnacentral:miRNA from 1 species